rnacentral:lncRNA from 10 species
AAAAAACAAAAAACAAAAAACAAAAACAAAAACCCACACUCAACACACAACAUUUCUGUGACCAGAUGCAGUGGUGAGGGGCCCUGGGGGGUAAGUUCCUCAGACACCAAGCGAUUCUCCAGUGGACAUUGGCUAAGCAUUCUAUAAUUCAAUUCGAUUCUGAUUCUGACACUAGCUACCUGGAGGUAGUGUCAGAUUCCAUGGGGUAAGGGCUUGAUCCCACUAGACUGCUCCUCUUCAGAUGCCAAUUAUGGAGAAGACGGCCGAGGUUCAGGGAAAGAGCCCAGUGGAAGAACCCAACCUAGUGAGAGGAAAACGGGCACCUGGUGAAGGCCCCGGCCUCUAAGCUAGGGAUGAGGGGACAGGCCUCUGCCUAGCCUGAGACAGGAGUAGGAAACUGAGGCAUUCACACUUUUAUGUGGCGAUCACAGUUCCUGCAGACUGUAGCAGAGCUGGGGAGCAG